UACGUAGGCAGCAAGCGUUGUUCGGAAUUACUGGGCGUAAAGAGUGUGUAGGCGGUGCUCCAAGUCUGGUGUGAAAUCUCCCGGCUUUAACUGGGAGGGUGCAUUAGAAACUGGAAUGCUAGAGGAUGGGAGAGGUAAGCGGAAUUCCUGGUGUAGCGGUGAAAUGCGUAGAUAUCAGGAGGAACACCUGUGGUGUAGACAGCUUACUGGACCAUUUCUGACGCUGAGACAGAAAGCGUGGGUAGCAAACAGG
rnacentral:rRNA from 1 species